GGAAGGCGGCGAUCAGCUGUUCCGGCCGCGUGACAGGCACUCGGGCAGCAGGGCGGGGAGCUACAUUUACUCCUCCACCGAGUGUUUUCAAGUACUCUUCCACCACUCCUCUACACCAGCUCACCUGUAUACCACAUAACCAUACCACCUGGAAGCCUCUAAUUAUGGACAACCCGGCUGAGUGCAAGGUCUGCUUUGCCAUGUUCACCCCAGGGGAGGAGCACCGACCCAGGUCACUCCCCUGCGGGCACACCUUCUGCACCUCCUGCGUGGCGCAUCUCCUGAAGAAGGGGGCCGGGUGUCUAGCCUGUCCCGAGUGUCGCCUUCAGCACCCAGCCCCCAGAGCCACCCACUUCCCGGUUAACUAUGGGAUGGAGGCACUCAUAGAUCAGCUGAAGUGCCUGGUGAUGCCUCCUGGGGUAGUAGCUGCAGCAGGGCCAGAGGGAGCAGGGUGCUGUGAGGAGGGUGCAAUGAAGCAGCCGGAUACGGAGGCUAUGAAGGAGAAGGUGAUUGAGUUGCUGGUGGCAUGUGGCGCUACUCAGACGCAGCUCGAGCAACACCAGGAGAAGUUAAAAGAACCCAGAGCUCGCCACACGACUCUCCUGAACCGACUCGGUAACCUGGUGGGCGACAACAGGGCGGCCCUCGUGAGGCUGAACGGGUCACUGGGGAAAGUGCGGGACCUGGCGGAGGAGGGCAAAGGUUACGUCCUACAGCUCCAGGUGGCUCUGAGUCGCCUUGAGUCGGUCAGCACAGCACAGGAAGCGGAUAUUGUGGUGGAGAGAGUUGCCGGCAGGGUGGAGCAGGUGGAGGAGUGGAGGGAGAGGAGUGGCCGCCUCUGUUAUGAUGAGGGCGAUGGUGCAUUGACUACAUCGUGCCAGGUCCUGGGGGCUACACAGGCAGCAUUUAGCACCCUGGCAGCUCAAGGCAUUGGUGCUGAGGGUGGUGCUGACUUCAUUGGUGGUGCUGACCUCAGUGGUGAUGACAUUGGUUCCGAGGCUGGUGUCGACAUUGGUGCUGAGGACAAUGCUGAUGUCCUUGUGAGAGCUCAAAACACACUCACUCCAUUGCCCUCGCACACGCACACACUCACACCACAUGACAUACGCACCAUGACGCCGCAGGUGAAGAGGAUGCUGGAGAAUGGACAGGUGUGGGGGGUGCACCGGGAGGGCUCAAGCAACCCCCGCUCCUCAAUGUUUACCUUAGAAGGCGAUCGUUUGCACCUGUAUCACCUAUGUAACCACCCUCCACCUGCACAUGCCCAAACCUUGCAGGUGUCUAAUUACCUGCCUGGCAACUUCCACUUCUGCACCCUGGCAUUCCUUGACCUGGCCUGGGGCUUGGAGGUCAGAGGUCGCGUGUAUAUUCGCCUUGACAUGUUCACCCCCCUGGCCAGACAGUUCAUGAUGCUGUGCACAGCUGAGCACCGACACACCUACGCCAACACUGCCAUGCUAAAGACUUGAACUCGUCAACAUUUUCCUUGGCCACCUGAGCGAUCUCGAGGAGGCGCAGCUCAUCCUUGUACCUGAUGAGAGUGCCACCCUGAGGAGUGAAGGAGAAAGAAGAUAUGGGGAGGGGAGAGGAGAAGAUGAAGGAAGAGAUGAGUGGAGGAGAAAAGAAGAUAUGGGGAGGGGAGAGGAGAAGAUGAAGGAAGAGAUAAGUGGAGGAGAAAAGAAGAUAUGGGGGGGGGAGAGGAGAAGAUGAAGGUAAUUGAGAUGAAGGAAGAGAUGAGUGGAGGAGAAAAGAAGAUAUGGGGAGGGGAGAGGAGAAGAUGAAGGAAGAGAUAAGUGGAGGAGAAAAGAAGAUAUGGGGAGGGGAGAGGAGAAGAUGAAGGCACGCCCACUCACCUGUCCUCCUCCUCGGCUCCGCAAGUCCUCGGCAGUGGCAUGAGAGACUCGCGGUUGAUCCUCGGGUACCGGGAUUGCUUGAAGAGGGAGGUUAACAUGGCUGAAGAGUGGCAAGGAACAAGAAGCAGUAGGAAAGGAAUCACAUGAGUGAGAGAUGGCUGGACGAUGACAAGGAAGCAAUGGUAAGGGAGCCAAGUAGAAAGAUGAAGACUACUGGAUGACUACAGAGAAGAAGCAGUAGUAAAAGAACUUAAUGGGAAGACAAGCAAAGCUUUUUACGACAGAGCUUCCAAUUAACGAAUAACAGGAUGUAAUGAUUAUAAGAAGCCACAUAGGAAGGGGAAGAUAUUUCAAGGCCAUCAAGACAAAGUAAAGAAGACCGAGCUGGAAGACAAGUUGCUGACAACAAAGAACAACUGGGAAUCAAAUUCUACUGUUACAAACAUUCCCAGCGUGAGAGUACCGGGUGUGAGCAGAGGAAGAAUGCCGUGCUGGAUGGAUACGUGAUGCCAUCCUGGGCCACUGUGCCAGGGAGGACAUUGCCGCAGCCUUCACCUGGCCCACGAAACAGCCUGGAGUGACAAAUG